rnacentral:rRNA from 1 species
GAUGAACGCUGGCGGCGUGCCUAAUACAUGCAAGUAGAACGCUGAAGGAGGAGCUUGCUCUUCUGGAUGAGUUGCGAACGGGUGAGUAACGCGUAGGUAACCUGCCUGGUAGCGGGGGAUAACUACUGGAAACGAUAGCUAAUACCGCAUGACAACAGUUAUUGCAUGAUAACUGUUUAAAAGGGGCAACUGCUCCACUACCAGAUGGACCUGCGUUGUAUUAGCUAGUUGGUGAGGUAACGGCUCACCAAGGCGACGAUACAUAGCCGACCUGAGAGGGUGAUCGGCCACACUGGGACUGAGACACGGCCCAGACUCCUACGGGAGGCAGCAGUAGGGAAUCUUCGGCAAUGGACGGAAGUCUGACCGAGCAACGCCGCGUGAGUGAAGAAGGUUUUCGGAUCGUAAAGCUCUGUUGUAAGAGAAGAACGAGUGUGAGAGUGGAAAGUUCACACUGUGACGGUAUCUUACCAGAAAGGGACGGCUAACUACGUG